rnacentral:lncRNA from 1 species
ACCCUCUGUUUUUAACCUCUGUGUGUGUAUGUGUGUGUGUGUGUGUGUGUGUGUGUGUGUGUGUGUGUGUGUGUGUGUGUGUGUGUGUGUGUGUGUAUAUCAGUGUGAGGAGGGGCUGCAGGUCCAUCAGGACUGAAAGAAGGUUCCAGGUUUUUGGACCAGAACCAGAGAAGAACCCACACUCCUUCAGCUCCACACUGAACUCUGUGUUGUGGACAGCCAAUGACGUCCUCCUGCUGGUUGCCGAGGACUUCUACCAGAGCGAGCGUCUCAGCAGGUUCUUCCUGGUUCCUGACCGUUUGGACCAAUGGGCUGAAAGCAUGCAGCAGAGGCUGUUGGGAUACCAGGAGCAGAGCAGGAAGUUUCUGAAAACGAACAGAGAGGAGCUGGUGGCCCAGUUGUCUCUGUUGGAGGAGCUACGGCAUUCGUUACCUGCAGUUUUGAUUAGUAACCAUGAGCGACUACAGGGGGCGGGGCUUAGAGAGGAGGUGGGCUGUGUCAGACUGAAGCUGGAGGAGACGCUGGCAGCCAGCGAGGAGGAGAAGCGUGUGAACGUCCGUCAGCUGCGAGCGUCUCUCAGAGAAGACGAGCUUCAGACUCUGAACAGCAGAGAAGAGCUCAGACAGCAGCAGCUGCACAGCACCGUCUGCUGCGCACACCUGGAACUACAGGUGUGUGUGAGAGUCCGAGGGGAGGAGUUUGUGACAUCACUGGCCUCUCUGACAGAGCGGCUGCUCUCUCAGCUGGACGACCUGCUCAUACCUGAAGGUAACUGACUGCAAGUAACUGACUGAAGGUAACUGACUGAAAGUAACUGACUGAAAGUAACUGACUGAAGGUAACUGACUGAAAGUAACUGACUGA